GGAGAGAUGGCUGAGUGGCCGAAAGCGCCUUCCUGCUAAGAAGGUAGACCUAUAAAACGGGUCUCGAGGGUUCAAAUCCCUCUCUCUCCG
rnacentral:tRNA from 1 species